rnacentral:lncRNA from 1 species
UACAGGGCCCAAUCAAUGUUGGGACCAGGGACGCAGGACUCCAAACCUCUUGGUGCCUUCUGUUGUAGAAUCAUCAGACCAUCUGGCAGGAUGGUGCUUUCCAUUAUUCCAGCACCCUGGAGAUGCACGGGAAGUUCAAGACCAGCCUGGGCUGCUUCGUGAAAACUGUCUCAAAAAGUGAGAACACAGCAGGGAUCAGGAAACACUACAAAUUUCCACAGAAAGAGCUUCAAACUGAGCAGGACACUGGCCAAACUAUACCUCCUUCUCAGAGGGAAAGAAUGUUACUAUGAACAAUUAAAAGCAAAACAAAAAAACAAACAAG